rnacentral:rRNA from 1 species
UACGAAGGGGGCUAGCGUUGCUCGGAAUCACUGGGCGUAAAGCGCACGUAGGCGGGUCUUUAAGUCAGGGGUGAAAUCCUGGAGCUCAACUCCAGAACUGCCUUUGAUACUGAGGAUCUCGAGUCCGGGAGAGGUGAGUGGAACUCCGAGUGUAGAGGUGAAAUUCGUAGAUAUUCGGAAGAACACCAGUGGCGAAGGCGGCUCACUGGCCCGGUACUGACGUUGAUGUGCGAAAGCGUGGGGAGCAAACAGG